rnacentral:rRNA from 1 species
GACGUAGGGCGCGAGCGUUGUCCGGAUUUAUUGGGCGUAAAGAGCUCGUAGGCGGUUUGUCGCGUCUGCCGUGAAAGUCCGGGGCUCAACCCCGGAUCUGCGGUGGGUACGGGCAGACUUGAGUGCAGUAGGGGAGACUGGAAUUCCUGGUGUAGCGGUGAAAUGCGCAGAUAUCAGGAGGAACACCGGUGGCGAAGGCGGGUCUCUGGGCCGUAACUGACGCUGAGGAGCGAAAGCAUGGGGAGCGAACAGG